rnacentral:rRNA from 1 species
AUGACUCCCGGCAACGGAUAUCUCGGCUCUCGCAUCGAUGAAGAACGUAGCGAAAUGCGAUACCUGGUGUGAAUUGCAGAAUCCCGCGAACCAUCGAGUCUUUGAACGCAAGUUGCGCCCGAGGCCACUCGGCCGAGGGCACGCCUGCCUGGGCGUCACGC